GUCCUUGUGGUGAAGUGGACAUCACGCGGCCCUGCGAAGGCCGAGUCCCAGGUUCGAGUCCUGGUGAGGGCACCA
rnacentral:tRNA from 1 species